UAGGGAAUCUUCCGCAAUGGACGCAAGUCUGACGGAGCAACGCCGCGUGAGUGAUGAAGGUCUUCGGAUCGUAAAACUCUGUUAUUAGGGCAGAAUAAAUGUGUAAGUAACUAUGCACGUCUUGACGGUACCUAAUCAGAAAGCCACGGCUAACUACGUGCCAGCAGCCGCGGUAAUACGUAGGUGGCAAGCGUUGUCCGGAUUUAUUGGGCGUAAAGCGAGCGCAGGCGGUCAAUUAAGUCUGAUGUGAAAGCCCCCGGCUCAACCGGGGAGGGUCAUUGGAAACUGGUUGACUUGAGUGCGGAAGAGGAGAGUGGCAUUCCAUGUGUAGCGGUGAAAUGCGUAGAUAUAUGGAGGAACACCAGUAGCGAAGGCGACUCUCUGGUCUGUAACUGACGCUGAGGCUCGAAAGCGUGGGUAGCAAAAAGG
rnacentral:rRNA from 1 species